GACACGCGCAACUGCACGAGCGUUAUUUUGAAUUUUACUUUAAAAAGAAAAAAUCGAUAACCACCUCCAAACUGUAUCGAUUGUUCUCAUAUUAACAAUGAACUAACAGACAGUCCGUGUUGUCGUCUGUUAGCUGAAUGAAUAUAUGACAUAUUUAACUUCUGUGUCUUUAACAUUACUUCAUGAUGAAAGAAGCAACAAUGGCAGGAAACCUGAUUCAAACAGAAGUAAACAAGAGGGCAGUGAACAACCAAAGCCCUGUACAGACAACAUCCCAAGAGAUUGAACAAACACCUGCAAAAGAAAAAUCUCCACCUAAAAAGAAAAAACCGCCUUGCAAACCAUCCACUUUGAAGUCAGGAGAUUUAUU